GGGCUCGCCGGGGCGAGUGUGCGCCCCGGCUCUGCCUGGUGUGUUUGGAGGAACACGUGGGUAUGGCAGCGCGUGGACCCUGAGCACGCAAGGAUGUGAGUGUGCGAGUAAGUGUNCCUCGAGAAAGUUCACGUGUGCGAGACCCUGCGCACAUGCAUGGUGAGUGUUGUGGCGAGUGCCAGAGCAGAGGCCGCCAAGAGGCAGGCGGGUAGGGAUGUUGCACGUGGCCUCGUGGGAAGCAUGCGGCUAAUGCGUGCAGUGUGCUAGCCGNGUGUACGAGACAAUUUACUUUGAGGGCCUACAAGUACCUAGCCUUGGAGGAUGUUGUUUGGGGGUGCGGAACAGAGGGGUUCGAAGCCACUCCAAUAAUGUGUAGCACUUUGCAGGCCGCACUCCACAAGGUAUCUUCCUAAAGCUGCUGGAUGGGAGCGGUAGCUGACGUUUGUGCCGGGGACUCAGGCCUUUGGAACCCGCACGGGUCUGUGGGACAGUGUGGACCCAGAACGACUAGGUGUGCAGAGAAACGCGCGAAGGGACAGCGGCUCUAAGGCCUUGCGGUUCUUUGAUGUCUCUGGACAAGAACCCCCUUUCCCUCCUGUCUGCUGGUCCCUCCACCCGAAGAAGUCUGCCUAUGGUCAAAUAGCAUCCAUUAGACG
rnacentral:lncRNA from 1 species